rnacentral:lncRNA from 1 species
CAAAGCCAAACAUUGUAUGGAACUUGUGGACUCUUAUGGAGGAAUUGGGAGAAGAAUUGAAGAGACACUGGAAAGCAGGACGACCUUCAGCUGUGUUAAGACCUUCACUCCGGCAAGACUACCUAUACAUCAUCGCAUUAGAGAAGAAAAAGGCUUGACCUACUUGGAUCCGAUAAGAUGGAGUCUGUUUUCGGCAGAAAUUGAUCACAACGGACUCCUUGGUAGCCUUCCUUGCACCUGAGAAGAGGGAUAAAUGACAAGCAUGUGCAUGUGGUUGUGAAAGAUUCAAGGUUUUCAGCAAGCAGAUCAAGCACUAACAGUGACGCGAGAAUAGUCGUCUAACGAAGACCUUUGUAUCUGAUUCAGCCUGGUUCUAAUAUCAGUG